GAUUGUUUGUUGUUUUUGAUGUGGCACAGGCUGACAGGGGACAGGAAUAAUCGUCCCAAUAAACCGUGGAUUCGAGUGCCUGCAAAUUGUGUGCGUCUCCUUCCUUCAUUUUCCACGUGAUUUAUGUCUAAAGUCCCUUUCAGACUGGCAUGCUCUACCCGGGUUUGCGACCCGGUGUCAUGUGGAUCGGCUACAUGAUUUCACACUGCUUGUGAAGAAGCAGGGUUGACCUGAGUGACAGAAGCAAAUAAAUAUGGCUAAACACGAUCCGGAGCUGUCGCCCACGGCCAGCACAAAAUCUGGACAACAAUGCACUGACUGUUCACUAAAUAACAUUGUAAACUCAUUACCAGCACUACAGCACUCAUUGGGAGAGGUGACCGUGUUUGUGUUUUGGUAUCUCCAUCGAGAUUAUUGUUCUUGUGGGAUUGUUCAUUGUAAACGGGACUGCAACCCAUCAUUUACUGUGCAAUACACAUCGUUGUUUGUUUCUGUUUGGUCAUCAGACCCCUGGAUUAAAAUAA